CGCAGCAUGCCGCGUGAGUGAGGAAGGCCUUCGGGUUGUAAAGCUCUGUCAGAUGGGAAGAACAGCAGUUGGUCCAAUAGGCCAUCUGUUUGACGGUACCUUCAAAGGAAGCACCGGCUAACUUCGUGCCAGCAGCCGCGGUAAUACGAAGGGUGCAAGCGUUGUUCGGAUUUACUGGGCGUAAAGCGCGCGCAGGCGGAUUGAUAAGUCAAAUGUGAAAUCUCGGGGCUCAACCCCGAAACUGCGUCUGAAACUGUUGAUCUAAAGUUAUGUAAGGGAGAAGGGAAUUUCGGAUGUAGGGGUAAAAUCCGUAAAGAUGCGAAGGAACACCAGAGCCGAAGGGGCUUCUCUGGGCAUACACUGACGCUGAGGCGCGAAAGCGUGGGUAGCAAACAGGAUUAAAUACCCUGGUAGUCCACGCCGGAAACGAUGAGUACUAGAUUUUGGGGCCUUUGACCGCUUCACAGUCGCAGCUAACGCAUUAAGUACUCCGCCUGGGAAGUACGGUCGCAAGACUAAAACUCAAAGG
rnacentral:rRNA from 1 species